CUCUAUUGUAUCUGGUUUUGUAUCCUUCCCCAUCCGGUAAGCAUCUUUGCCUAGCGAUUCCACUUGCCAUCUCCAUCUCGCAAGCCCUCCCUGCCACUCUGCUCCCACAUGUGACUCCCCUGCCGCCACACCUCCAUUGCCGGCCUACUCGGCCCCUGCACCUCCACUGCCGGCACACCUAGAUGCCGCCACCCCCUCCCUGCCGGUGAGGCUGGGUGCCGGCGCUCCUCAGAGCCGCCCUCCUCCCUGUCGCGAGGCUGUAACUGGCGCGUGGCUGGCAUCCCGGCGACUCGGUGCCGCCCCCCUCUGGGCCGUGGUGCUGGUGCUGGUGCUGGCGGUGGACGGCUUCGGCGAGCGGUGCGCCGGAGGAGGACGGAGGGAGGAGGAAGAAGGCUUACUAGGACAUGGUGCUAGGAAUCGGCUGUCAAGUUACUAUGGUUUAAAGAAGUUCUCCCAGCCUGUCCGAAACAAACAAGUAUUGAUGAAUAUUUCAUCAGAAGCCAUCUCGCUAGUAAAACAAAUGUGAUUGUUGCAGAUUUUGCCUCCCAUAUGUAUUUCGUUGUAUACGUGGGGAAAGGAAAAUUCAAUAAUGUAUAAUGUGCGUAUAGUCAAUGAUAAUUCUUCAUAAA